AUGUAUUAUAUAUAUAUAUAUAUAUAUAUAUGAACUAUAUGAACAUUAAUAUAUGCAUGUAAAUAUUUUCAAUAUAUAUUCUGUAUGUAUAUGUGUAUUUAUAUAUACAUAAUAAAUAUACACAGUACACACACACACAUUACGUAAACAAAAACUUUUAUUUUGGAUGUGAUAAUUGGGAUUAAUCAUUUGACAGCACUAGUUUAGAUACAAAAACUAUUCAAGAUAUUGGUUACACUGACUCCCAGAACCCUAUUAUAAUAAAUUAUGAAAUGUAAUUUAAGUCAGAGGAGAAAUGAAGACGAGAAACCUUCUGUGUUCAUGCAAAGAUUCAGCCAGGUCUUGAAAAGGAAGAACUCAUCAUGAUAACUUCUUGUCCAUGCAAACUGGAGCAUUAACUGGAUUUCUCCAGCUUGCACGGUAUUGCUGUAACCCCGCCUCCUCUCCAGACUAAUUUGAAUAAAUCGAGGCCUGUGAUUGGUUGGUGUGAAUGGAGACUACUGUUUUUAAAUCACAUAUUGUGUUGCUGUGAGCUUCUGUCAUUGACGGUGGGUUUCUGUUCAGGAGGAUCCAUGUAUCGCUUUAUUAACACACGUUCUGUCCGGUUCAAAAGUGCCUAAACUUUCAUUUGGUAUCAAAAAAUUCUGUGUCAGAGAGAGAGGGAGAGAGAGUGUGUGUGUGUGAGCGAGAGAGAGAGUGUGUGUGUGGGUUUGUGUUUGAAAGAGAAAGAGAGUGUGUGUGUGGGUGUGUGUGUUUGAAAGAGAAAGUGUGUGUGUGUGAGAGAGAGUGUGUGUGUGAGAGAGUGUGUGUGUGUGUGAGAGAGAGAGAGUGUGUGUGUGUGUGGGUGAGAGAGAGAGUGUGUGUGUGUGUUUGAAAGAGAAAGUGUGUGUGUGUGUGUGUGUGAGAGAGAGAGUGUGUGUGUGUGUGUGUGUGUGUGAGAGAGAGAGAGUGUGUGUGUGUGUGUGUGUGAGAGAGAGAGUGUGUGUGUGUGUGUGUGAGAGAGAGAGUGUGUGUGUGGCCCUCGUUUCAGCAAAUAAAUAUACUGAUGGGAAACUCUUGUGGCAUGCUUGACGUUUUAAAAUGUGG
ensembl:lncRNA